GACGAACGCUGGCGGCGUGCUUAACACACGCAAGUCGAGCGGAAAGGCCCUUUCGGGGGUACUCGAGCGGCGAACGGGUGAGUAACACGUGAGUAAUCUGCCUCUGGCUUCGGGAUAGCCACCGGAAACGGUGAUUAAUACCGGAUAUGACAUCUUCACGCAUGUGAUGGGUGUGGAAAGUUUUUUCGGCCAGGGAUGUGCUCGCGGCCUAUCAGCUUGUUGGUGGGGUAAUGGCCUACCAAGGCUUCGACGGGUAGCCGGCCUGAGAGGGUGACCGGCCACACUGGGACUGAGACACGGCCCAGACUCCUACGGGAGGCAGCAGUGGGGAAUAUUGGACAAUGGGCGGAAGCCUGAUCCAGCAACGCCGCGUGAGGGAUGACGGCCUUCGGGUUGUAAACCUCUUUCAGCACAGACGAAGCGCAAGUGACGGUAUGUGCAGAAGAAGGACCGGCCAACUACGUGCCAGCCGCCGCCGUAACAC
rnacentral:rRNA from 1 species